CGCGGCCUAUCAGCUUGUUGGUGGGGUAGUGGCCUACCAAGGCGACGACGGGUAGCCGGCCUGAGAGGGUGACCGGCCACACUGGGACUGAGAUACGGCCCAGACUCCUACGGGAGGCAGCAGUGGGGAAUAUUGCACAAUGGGCGCAAGCCUGAUGCAGCGACGCCGCGUGGGGGAUGACGGCCUUCGGGUUGUAAACCUCUUUCACCAUCGGCGAAGCCGGGAGCUUUUGUUUCUGGUGACGGUAGGUGGAGAAGAAGCACCGGCCAACUACGUGCCAGCAGCCGCGGUAAUACGUAGGGUGCGAGCGUUGUCCGGAAUUACUGGGCGUAAAGAGCUCGUAGGUGGUUUGUCGCGUUGUCCGUGAAAUUCCCUGGCUUAACUGGGGGCGUGCGGGCGAUACGGGCAGACUGGGGUACUGCAGGGGAGACUGGAAUUCCUGGUGUAGCGGUGGAAUGCGCAGAUAUCAGGAGGAACACCGGUGGCGAAGGCGGGUCUCUGGGCAGUAACUGACGCUGAGGAGCGAAAGCGUGGGGAGCGAACAGGAUUAGAUACCCUGGUAGUCCACGCCGUAAACGGUGGGUACUAGGUGUGGGUUUCCUUCCUUGGGAUCCGUGCCGUAGCUAACGCAUUAAGUACCCCGCC
rnacentral:rRNA from 1 species